rnacentral:rRNA from 1 species
AUUGAACGCUGGCGGCAGGCCUAACACAUGCAAGUCGAACGAGCGGCGGACGGGUGAGUAAUGUCUGGGGAACUGCCCGAUGGAGGGGGAUAACUACUGGAAACGGUAGCUAAUACCGCAUACUAUCGGAUGAACCCAGAUGGGAUUAGCUAGUAGGUGGUGUAACGGCUCACCUAGGCGACGAUCCCUAGCUGGUCUGAGAGGAUGACCAGCCACACUGGAACUGAGACACGGUCCAGACUCCUACGGGAGGCAGCAGUGGGGAAUAUUGCACAAUGGGCGCAAGCCUGAUGCAGCCAUGCCGCGUGUAUGAAGAAGGCCUUAGGGUUGUAAAGUACUUUCAGCGGGGAGGCGUUACCCGCAGAAGAAGCACCGGCUAACUCCGUGCCAGCCGCCGCGGUAAUUC